rnacentral:rRNA from 1 species
GAUAAACGCUGGCGGCGCACAUAAGACAUGCAAGUCGAACGGACUCAACUCAUUCUUUACGAUUGAGAACGGUUAGUGGCGGACUGGUGAGUAAUACGUAAGCAACCUGCCUAUCAGAGGGGAACAACAGUUAGAAAUGACUGCUAAUACCGCAUAUGCCAUAAUCACCACAUGGUGGUAGUGGGAAAGGAGCCUUUAAAGCUUCGCUUAAAGAUGGGCCUGCGGCGUAUUAACUAGUUGGUGAGGUAAUGGCUCACCAAGGUAACGAUGCGUAGCCGGACUGAGAGGUUGAACGGCCACAUUGGAACUGAGAUACGGUCCAGACUCCUACGGGAGGCAGCAGUGGGGGAUAUUGCGCAAUGGGGGAAACCCUGACGCAGCAACGCCGCGUGAAGGAAGAAGGUCUUCGGAUUGUAAACUUUUGUCUUUUGGGAAGAUAAUGACGGUACCAAAGGAGGAAGCCACGGCUAACUACGUG